rnacentral:misc_RNA from 1 species
GAAAUGCGAUAAGUAGUGUGAAUUGCAGAAUUCAGUGAAUCAUCGAAUCUUUGAACGCACAUUGCGCCCCUCGGUAUUCCGAAGGGCAUGCCUGUUCGAGCGUCAUCUACACCCUCAAGCUCUGCUUGGUGUUGGGCGUCUGUCCCGCCUCCCGCGCGUGGACUCGCCCCAAAGUGAUUGGCAGCCGGCGUACUGGUCCCGGAGCGCAGCACAUGUCGCGCAAACGAGUGCCUUGGUACGGCGGCGUCCAUAAGCCCCUCUCUCACGCUCUUGACCUCGGAUCAGGUAGGGAUACCCGCUGAACUUAAGC